UAGGUGAAUUGAACAAGGAUAGGAUGG
rnacentral:piRNA from 1 species